rnacentral:sRNA from 1 species
UCCCUCUCUUUUUUUUAAUAAUAUUUUU